UACACUCCUACGGGAGGCAGCAGUGGGGAAUUUUGGACAAUGGGCGAAAGCCUGAUCCAGCCAUGUCGCGUGCAGGAUGAAGGCCUUCGGGUUGUAAACUGCUUUUGUACGGAACGAAACGGCCUUUUCUAAUAAAGAGGGCUAAUGACGGUACCGUAAGAAUAAGCACCGGCUAACUACGUGCCAGCAGCCGCGGUAAUACGUAGGGUGCAAGCGUUAAUCGGAAUUACUGGGCGUAAAGCGUGCGCAGGCGGUUAUGUAAGACAGUUGUGAAAUCCCCGGGCUCAACCUGGGAACUGCAUCUGUGACUGCAUAGCUAGAGUACGGUAGAGGGGGAUGGAAUUCCGCGUGUAGCAGUGAAAUGCGUAGAUAUGCGGAGGAACACCGAUGGCGAAGGCAAUCCCCUGGACCUGUACUGACGCUCAUGCACGAAAGCGUGGGGAGCAAACAGGAUUAGAAACCCGGGUAGUCCCA
rnacentral:rRNA from 1 species